UACGUAGGCAGCGAGCGUUGUUCGGAGUUACUGGGCGUAAAGGGUGUGUAGGCGGUUGUUUAAGUUUGGUGUGAAAUCUCCCGGCUCAACUGGGAGGGUGCGCCGAAUACUGAGCGACUAGAGUGCGGGAGAGGAAAGUGGAAUUCCUGGUGUAGCGGUGAAAUGCGUAGAUAUCAGGAGGAACACCGGUGGUGUAGACGGCUUUCUGGACCGUAACUGACGCUGAAACACGAAAGCGUGGGUAGCAAACAGG
rnacentral:rRNA from 1 species